rnacentral:rRNA from 1 species
UACGUAGGGUGCGAGCGUUUGUCCGGAAUUAUUGGGCGUAAAGGGCUCGUAGGCGGUUUGUCGCGUCGGGAGUGAAAACCUUGGGCUUAACUCAGGGCUUGCUUUCGAUACGGGCAGACUAGAGGUAUGCAGGGGAGAACGGAAUUCCUGGUGUAGCGGUGAAAUGCGCAGAUAUCAGGAGGAACACCGGUGGCGAAGGCGGUUCUCUGGGCCGAUACUGACGCUGAGGAGCGAAAGCGUGGGGAGCGAACAGG